rnacentral:rRNA from 1 species
UAGGUGAACCUGCGGAAGGAUCAUUAUUGAAAUAAACCUGAUGGGUUGUUGCUGGCUCUCUAGGGAGCAUGUGCACACCUUGUCAUCUUUAUAUCUCCACCUGUGCACCUUUUGUAGACCUUUCAGGUCUAUGUUGCUUCAUUUACCCCCAAUGUAUGUCAAUAGAAUGUUGUGCCUAUAAAAUCUAUACAACUUUCAGCAACGGAUCUCUUGGCUCUCGCAUCGAUGAAGAACGCAGCGAAAUGCGAUAAGUAAUGUGAAUUGCAGAAUUCAGUGAAUCAUCGAAUCUUUGAACGCACCUUGCGCUCCUUGGUAUUCCGAGGAGCAUGCCUGUUUGAGUGUCAUUAAUAUAUAUAUCAACCUUCUCUUGUUUGAGUGGUUUGGAUGUGGGGGUUUGCUGGCUUCUUAAAAGGGUUCAGCUCCUCUGAAAUGCAUUAGCAGAACAACCUGUUCAUUGGCGUGAUAACUAUCUAUGCUAUUGAAUAUCAGGGGGCAGUUCAGCUUUCUAACAGUCCUUGGACAAUUUAUCAUUUAUGUGACCUCAAAUCAGGUA